AUACGGAGGAUCCGAGCGUUAUCCGGAUCUAUUGGGUUUAAAGGGUGCGCAGGCGGCCAUUUAAGUCAGCGGUUAAAUCGUGGGGCUCAACCCCAUUCUGCCGUUGAUACUGGGUGGCUUGAUUGCGGUCGAGGUUGGCGGAAUUCGUUGUGUAGCGGUGAAAUGCAUAGAUAUGACGAAGAACACCGAUUGCGUAGGCAGCUGACCAGACCGCAAAUGACGCUCAUGCACGAAAGUGCGGGGAUCGAACAGGAUUAGAUACCCUGGUAGUCCGCACAGUAAACGAUGAAUACUUGUUUUCGGCGAUAUAAUGUCGGAGGCAAAGCGAAAGCGAUAAGUAUUCCACCUGGGGAGUACGCCGGCAACGGUGAAACUCAAAGGAAUUGGCGGGG
rnacentral:rRNA from 1 species